UGAUGCAGCAACGCCGCGUGAGGGACGACGGCCUUCGGGUUGUAAACCUCUUUUAGCAGGGAAGAAGCGAAAGUGACGGUACCUGCAGAAAAAGCACCGGCUAACUACGUGCCAGCAGCCGCGGUAAUACGUAGGGUGCAAGCGUUGUCCGGAAUUAUUGGGCGUAAAGAGCUCGUAGGCGGUUUGUCGCGUCUGCUGUGAAAUCCCGAGGCUCAACCUCGGGUCUGCAGUGGGUACGGGCAGACUAGAGUGCGGUAGGGGAGAUUGGAAUUCCUGGUGUAGCGGUGGAAUGCGCAGAUAUCAGGAGGAACACCGAUGGCGAAGGCAGAUCUCUGGGCCGCUACUGACGCUGAGGAGCGAAAGGGUGGGGAGCAAACAGGCUUAGAUACCCUGGUAGUCCACCCCGUAAACGUUGGGCGCUAGAUGUGGGGACCAUUCCACGGUUUCCGUGUCGUAGCUAACGCAUUAAGCGCCCCGCCUGGGGAGUACGGCCGCAAGGCUAAAACUCAAAGGAAUUGACGGGGGCCCGCACAAGCGGCGGAGCAUGCGGAUUAAUUCGAUGCAACGCGAAGAACCUUACCAAGGCUUGACAUAUACGAGAACGGGCCAGAAAUGGUCAACUCUUUGGACACUCGUAAACAGGUGGUGCAUGGUUGUCGUCAGCUCGUGUCGUGAGAUGUUGGGUUAAGUCCCGCAACGAGCGCAACCCUCGUUCUAUGUUGCCAGCACGUAAUGGUGGGAACUCAUGGGAUACUGCCGGGGUCAACUCGGAGGAAGGUGGGGACGACGUCAAAUCAUCAUGCCCCUUAUGUCUUGGGCUUCACGCAUGCUACAAUGGCCAGUACAAAGGGCUGCAAUACCGUAAGGUGGAGCGAAUCCCAAAAAGCUGGUCCCAGUUCGGAUUGAGGUCUGCAACUCGACCUCAUGAAGUCGGAGUCGCUAGUAAUCGCAGAUCAGCAACGCUGCGGUGAAUACGUUCCCGGGCCUUGUACACACCGCCCGUCAAGUCAUGAAAGUCGGUAACACCCGAAGCCAGUGGCCUAACCGCAAGGAUGGAGCUGUCUAAGGUGGGAUCGGUAAUUAG
rnacentral:rRNA from 1 species